GGCCAUCUCUGCCAAGGUGGGAAGUGGAUGCAAUUCCAAAAUGUCCUUGAACCAAUCGACUUGCUCAGCCAGAAGGCAAUGAAGAGUUUGCAAAGGAUUAGGAAUCACGUGCAGAGCAGAGCGGUUGAUCCUCCUGAUCAAGUACCUAUCUCUAUCUUAAAGACAUUAUGACAGCUGUCUGCAGUAAUGAGUUCCACAGAUUCCCCACAGUCUGGCUGAAGAAAUUGUGGAUCUGCUCCAUGUGGCGUCUAACCAAGGUUUUGUAUAACUGCAGCAACUCUUCUCCAUCCCUGUACUCCAGUCCUCUCGAUGUAAAGGACAGCCUUCCAUUAGCUUUCUUCAGGCAAUGAAUGUCAGAAAUGAAAAGAAAUACAGAAAUGGUUGGAGAAACUCAGCAGGGACAGAUAUUAUUUGCCACCUGGGGACUGUCUGACUGCUGUUGAAGACAACUUUCCAUCUUUUCUUUUGACCCUUUAGUUUUGAGCUGUGCUGGAGCCGUGUACUCUUCAGUGAAGAACACAGGGAUACAGGAUGGCAACUAUUAUUUUGUUUAAAAACCUCAAGAUCCUCGAACAAGGGGCGUACUUUGAGAUGCAAAGGCUUUCCGUUUAUCUGAGGGAGGCCAUUGCAAUGGGUGUGACUCAACUUGGAAUUUGUAGGGUAGACCCUGGGAUCCAUCUGAGGAAGAUAGAACUAUAUUGAUUCUUAAUGAUUUUAUUCCUUAGAGAGAUAUAUAUGGUCAGAGUCUUCCCUGAUUGAGCCAUUCCAAGUAUCUCAGUCUCAAGUCAGGAGUGUGAUGGAAUGCUCCCCACUUGCCUGGAUGGUUGCAGCUCCAACAAUAUUCGAAAAGCUCAACAUCAUUGACGCAAAAAGCAGUCCCCACUUAACUGGAACCACAUCCACAAGCAUCCACUCCCUCUACUACCAAUGCUUACCAGCAGCAAUACCAAGAUGUACUGCGAAAAUACACCAGAGAUCCUCGGGCAACACCUUCAAAAUCCAUGACCACUUCCAUCUAGAAGUACAAGUGCAGCAGAUACAUGGAAACACCCACCCUCUACAAGUUCCCUUUUGGGCCUCUCAGUGUUCUGACUUCGAAAUAUAACACUAUUUCUUCAGAAUCAUUGGGUUAAAACCCUGGAAUUCCCUCCCUCAGGGCAAUGCGCUUCUAUCCAUAGCACAUGCAGCGGUUCAAGAAAGCAGCUUAUCCCUACCUUCUCAAGUAGGCAACUAGGGAUAAGUUGGGCAAUAAGUGCAGGGUCCAGUGAGUGAUGCCCAUGUGUCAUAAGUGAUUAAUAAUAAAAAAAAUUGUAAAUUACCCCAGGGCCUCCACUUUCCCUAUGUGAGCUUGUUCUGGGAGGGUGUGCGCAAACUUUGUCGUGAAUGUUGAUGCAAAAUACAUAUUCGAUGUUAUUUGA